UGGGGAAUAUUGGACAAUGGGCGAAAGCCUGAUCCAGCCAUGCCGCGUGUGUGAAGAAGGUCUUCGGAUUGUAAAGCACUUUAAGUUGGGAGGAAGGGCAGUAAGCGAAUACCUUGCUGUUUUGACGUUACCGACAGAAUAAGCACCGGCUAACUCUGUGCCAGCAGCCGCGGUAAUACAGAGGGUGCAAGCGUUAAUCGGAAUUACUGGGCGUAAAGCGCGCGUCGGUGGUUCGUUAAGUUGAAUGUGAAAGCCCCGGGCUCAACCUGGGAACUGCAUCCAAAACUGGCGAGCUAGAGUAGGGCAGAGGGUGGUGGAAUUUCCUGUGUAGCGGUGAAAUGCGUAGAUAUAGGAAGGAACACCAGUGGCGAAGGCGACCACCUGGGCUCAUACUGACACUGAGGUGCGAAAGCGUGGGGAGCAAACAGG
rnacentral:rRNA from 1 species